GGUUAAGCGACUAAGCGUACACGGUGGAUGCCCUGGCAGUCAGAGGCGAUGAAGGGCGUGCUAAUCUGCGAUAAGCGCCGGUAAGGUGAUAUGAACCGUUAUAACCGGCGAUACCCGAAUGGGGAAACCCAGUGUGAUUCGUCACACUAUCAUUAACUGAAUCCAUAGGUUAAUGAGGCGAACCGGGGGAACUGAAACAUCUAAGUACCCCGAGGAAAAGAAAUCAACCGAGAUUCCCCCAGUAGCGGCGAGCGAACGGGGAGGAGCCCAGAGCCUGAAUCAGCAUGUGUGUUAGUGGAAGCGUCUGGAAAGGCGCGCGAUACAGGGUGACAGCCCCGUACACAAAAGCGCAUGUGCUGUGAGCUCGAUGAGUAGGGCGGGACACGUGGUAUCCUGUCUGAAUAUGGGGGGACCAUCCUCCAAGGCUAAAUACUCCUGACUGACCGAUAGUGAACCAGUACCGUGAGGGAAAGGCGAAAAGAACCCCGGCGAGGGGAGUGAAAAAGAACCUGAAACCGUGUACGUACAAGCAGUGGGAGCACAGGUUUACCUGUGUGACUGCGUACCUUUUGUAUAAUGGGUCAGCGACUUAUAUUCUGUAGCAAGGUUAACCGAAUAGGGGAGCCGGAGGGAAACCGAGUCUUAAUUGGGCGUUAAGUUGCAGGGUAUAGACCCGAAACCCGGUGAUCUAGCCAUGGGCAGGUUGAAGGUUGGGUAACACUAACUGGAGGACCGAACCGACUAAUGUUGAAAAAUUAGCGGAUGACCUGUGGCUGGGGGUGAAAGGCCAAUCAAACCGGGAGAUAGCUGGUUCUCCCCGAAAGCUAUUUAGGUAGCGCCUCGUGAAUUCAUCUCCGGGGGUAGAGCACUGUUUCGGCUAGGGGGCCAUCCCGGCUUACCAACCCGAUGCAAACUGCGAAUACCGGAGAAUGUUAUCACGGGAGACACACGGCGGGUGCUAACGUCCGUCGUGAAGAGGGAAACAACCCAGACCGCCAGCUAAGGUCCCAAAGUCAUGGUUAAGUGGGAAACGAUGUGGGAAGGCCCAGACAGCCAGGAUGUUGGCUUAGAAGCAGCCAUCAUUUAAAGAAAGCGUAAUAGCUCACUGGUCGAGUCGGCCUGCGCGGAAGAUGUAACGGGGCUAAACCAUGCACCGAAGCUGCGGCAGCGACGCUUAUGCGUUGUUGGGUAGGGGAGCGUUCUGUAAGCCUGUGAAGGUGGCCUGUGAGGGUUGCUGGAGGUAUCAGAAGUGCGAAUGCUGACAUAAGUAACGAUAAAGCGGGUGAAAAGCCCGCUCGCCGGAAGACCAAGGGUUCCUGUCCAACGUUAAUCGGGGCAGGGUGAGUCGACCCCUAAGGCGAGGCCGAAAGGCGUAGUCGAUGGGAAACGGGUUAAUAUUCCCGUACUUGGUGUUACUGCGAAGGGGGGACGGAGAAGGCUAUGUUGGCCGGGCGACGGUUGUCCCGGUUUAAGCGUGUAGGUGUGUGUUCCAGGUAAAUCCGGUUCACUUUAACACUGAGGCGUGAUGACGAGGCACUACGGUGCUGAAGUAACAAAUGCCCUGCUUCCAGGAAAAGCCUCUAAGCAUCAGGUAACAUCAAAUCGUACCCCAAACCGACACAGGUGGUCAGGUAGAGAAUACCAAGGCGCUUGAGAGAACUCGGGUGAAGGAACUAGGCAAAAUGGUGCCGUAACUUCGGGAGAAGGCACGCUGACACGUAGGUGAAGUGAUUUACUCAUGGAGCUGAAGUCAGUCGAAGAUACCAGCUGGCUGCAACUGUUUAUUAAAAACACAGCACUGUGCAAACACGAAAGUGGACGUAUACGGUGUGACGCCUGCCCGGUGCCGGAAGGUUAAUUGAUGGGGUCAGCGCAAGCGAAGCUCCUGAUCGAAGCCCCGGUAAACGGCGGCCGUAACUAUAACGGUCCUAAGGUAGCGAAAUUCCUUGUCGGGUAAGUUCCGACCUGCACGAAUGGCGUAAUGAUGGCCAGGCUGUCUCCACCCGAGACUCAGUGAAAUUGAACUCGCUGUGAAGAUGCAGUGUACCCGCGGCAAGACGGAAAGACCCCGUGAACCUUUACUAUAGCUUGACACUGAACAUUGAGCCUUGAUGUGUAGGAUAGGUGGGAGGCUUUGAAGUGUGGACGCCAGUCUGCAUGGAGCCGACCUUGAAAUACCACCCUUUAAUGUUUGAUGUUCUAACGUGGACCCGUUACCCGGGUUGCGGACAGUGUCUGGUGGGUAGUUUGACUGGGGCGGUCUCCUCCUAAAGAGUAACGGAGGAGCACGAAGGUUGGCUAAUCCUGGUCGGACAUCAGGAGGUUAGUGCAAUGGCAUAAGCCAGCUUGACUGCGAGCGUGACGGCGCGAGCAGGUGCGAAAGCAGGUCAUAGUGAUCCGGUGGUUCUGAAUGGAAGGGCCAUCGCUCAACGGAUAAAAGGUACUCCGGGGAUAACAGGCUGAUACCGCCCAAGAGUUCAUAUCGACGGCGGUGUUUGGCACCUCGAUGUCGGCUCAUCACAUCCUGGGGCUGAAGUAGGUCCCAAGGGUAUGGCUGUUCGCCAUUUAAAGUGGUACGCGAGCUGGGUUUAGAACGUCGUGAGACAGUUCGGUCCCUAUCUGCCGUGGGCGCUGGAGAACUGAGGGGGCUGCUCCUAGUACGAGAGGACCGGAGUGGACGCAUCACUGGUGUUCGGGUUGUCAUGCCAAUGGCACUGCCCGGUAGCUAAAUGCGGAAGAGAUAAGUGCUGAAAGCAUCUAAGCACGAAACUUGCCCCGAGAUGAGUUCUCCCUGAGACUUAAAGUCUCCUGAAGGAACGUUGAAGACGACGACGUUGAUAGGCCGGGUGUGUAAGCGCAGCGAUGCGUUGAGCUAACCGGUACUAAUGAACCGUGAGGCUUAACCCU
rnacentral:rRNA from 1 species